CAUUCAUCACUCACUCUCCCUACUCUGCUGCGCGCCUUCUAAACGGAUAAAAUCCCUUGUAUUGUAUCAGAGUACCAAAGCCUUCCAAAAAUGUUAGCAAACUCUAGCGGCCUCCCCGCGAGGCCCUACUAUCCACACUCCUCUCAUUUCUCACCGUCCUCUCGCUGCAAGCUUUCUCUGUCUCCAAAUUGCUCUUGCUUCGCCAAUUCCACUAAGUCUUCCAAAUUCAUCUCGUUAUCUCUGCUUUUGUCUGCGAAAAACUACCCUCGGAAGUUUAGUGUUAAAGCUUUGGCGCAAGAACCUCGGGUUUCAGAGUCGGAGACCGUCGCCACGGAUGCGCCGCCCAGUUUUCCUCAACCGGUUUCUGUCAAAAUUCCAUACGGUGACAGACAUAUUUUGGUUGAGACGGGUAAAAUGGGGAGACAAGCUAGUGCUGCUGUUACAGUAACAGAUGGUGAAACUAUUGUCUUCACUUCUGUUUGUUUGGCGGAUAGCCCAAGUGAGCCUUCUGAUUUUUUUCCUCUCAAUGUAAAUUAUCAAGAGCGUUUUUCUGCAGCUGGUCGGACCAGUGGAGGCUUUUUUAAACGAGAAGGGAGGACAAAGGAUCAUGAGGUCCUUGUUUGUAGAUUGAUUGAUCGGCCCCUACGCCCAACUAUGCUUAAGGGCUUUUACCAUGAAACUCAAAUACUAUCUUGGGUUUUGAGCUAUGAUGGUCUGCAUUCCCCUGACGCUUUGUCAAUUACAGCAGCUGGAAUAGCAGUUGCUCUGUCAGAAGUGCCACAAUCCAAAAUAAUUGUGGGAGUUCGAGUUGGUCUAGUUGGUGACAAGUUUGUUGUGAAUCCAACAACCAAGGAGAUGGAAGACUCAGAUUUGGACUUGGUUUUGGCUGGCUCUGAUAAUGCAAUAUUGAUGAUAGAGGGUUACUGUAAUUUCCUUUCAGAAGAAAAGUUGAUUCAAGCGGUGAAAGUCGGGCAGGAAGCAGUACGGACUAUUUGUAAUGAGGUGAAAGCUCUAGUUAAGAUGUGUGGCAAACCAAAAAUGCUUGACACUAUAAAAUUACCACCUCCAGAGCUAUAUAAGCACGUUGAAGAAAUUGUUGGUCAGGACUUGGUGAAAAUGCUACAAAUCAGGAACAAAAUACCACGAAGAAAGGCUCUCACAACAUUGGAAGAAAAAGUUCUGACAAUACUUACGGAGACAGGAUAUGUCAGUAAAGAUGAGACUGUUGGAACUACUGAACUAGUACCAGAUUUGUUUGAGGAAGAAGAUGAGGAUGAGGAAGUUGUUCUGGAUGGUGAGGUAGAUGAAGGCGAUGUUCACAUAAGGCCAAUUCCACGGAAACCCCUUCCCUUGCUGUAUUCUGAGGUAGAUGUGAAGCUGGUGUUUAAAGAUGUUACAUCCAAAUUCCUGCGGAGACGCAUUGUGGAGGGAGGAAAAAGGAGUGAUGGACGAUAUGCAGAUGGAAUACGCCCAAUCAACUCAAGAUGUGGAUUACUUCCUAGGGCACAUGGAAGUGCUCUUUUCACCCGUGGUGAAACACAGGCGUUGGCUGUGGUUACACUUGGGGAUAAGCAAAUGGCACAAAGGAUAGACAAUCUUGUGGGUGACGGUGAUGUUAAGAGCUUCUACCUUCAGUACUCAUUUCCUCCAUCAUCUGUUGGUGAGGUUGGGAGGAUUGGAGCACCUAGUAGAAGAGAAAUUGGUCAUGGAACAUUGGCUGAGCGAGCUCUUGAACCUAUAUUGCCUUCUGAAGAUAAAUUUCCAUAUACUAUACGUGUAGAGAGUACCAUCACUGAAAGCAAUGGCUCCUCUAGCAUGGCAUCUGUUUGUGGAGGUUGCUUGGCAUUGCAAGAUGCUGGUGUUCCAAUAAAGUGCUCCAUUGCUGGGAUAGCAAUGGGUAUGGUAUUGGACACUGAAGAAUUUGGGGGAGAUGGGGCACCACUAAUUCUCUCUGACAUAACUGGCUCUGAAGAUGCAUCUGGAGAUAUGGAUUUUAAGGUUGCCGGAAAUGAAGAUGGUAUAACCGCAUUUCAGAUGGACAUAAAGGUGGGAGGAAUUACUUUACCUGUUAUGGAAAAGGCACUCCUACAGGCUAAGGAUGGCCGCAGACAAAUUCUUGCUGAAAUGAUGAAGUGCUUACCUCCCCCUACAAAUAGGCUUUCUAAGUAUGCUCCACUGAUUCACAUUAUGAAGGUUAGUCCAGAGAAAAUUAACCUUAUCAUUGGCUCUGGUGGAAAGAAGGUGAAGAGUAUUAUUGAAGAAACUGGAGUGGAGGCUAUUGACACAGAAGAUGAUGGAACAGUAAAAAUUACUGCAAGGGAUUUAUCAUGUCUAGAGAAAGCCAAAACCAUUAUUAGUAACUUGACGUUUGUCCCAACUGUUGGUGAUAUUUAUAGGAAUUGUAAGAUCAAAUCAAUUGCUCCUUAUGGAGUUUUUGUUGAGAUAGCCCCUGGGCGUGAGGGACUUUGCCAUAUUAGUGAGCUAAGCUCAAACUGGCUUUCGAAGACGGAAGAUGCUGUUAAGGUUGGAGACCAAAUUGAUGUUAAGCUUAUCGAGGUAAAUGAUAAAGGACAACUUCGCCUUAGCGUUAAAGCACUACUUCCAGUGACAAAUGCUGAGAAUCAUCCUGCAAAGUCAGAUACAGCUGAUUCCACCAAAGAUGUUGCAGCUUCAAGUAAAACUGAUAAAAGUAUGGCAAAAAAAUCUGUGUAUUUAUCAAAGGAUGGUGCUGUUGAAGAGAAGACUCGGCACCCCAAGGAUGUGAGCUCCGCAAAAAGCAGUACUGCAGACGAUAAUCUACUCCCACAGAGAAAGGUCUUCAAGAGAAUUGGAAGGACUUCAAAAGAGGUAUCCACUAUUAACAAAGUAAGGACAAAGAAGAGCAGUGGUAAAGAAGUCAGCAGUAUCUCUAACAAAGAUGGAAGCAGCUUAGUUGAUGGAGGCGCGAAAGUUGGAUGGUGAGUUAUUAUUUCCAGUUUCAGUGACAACAAAUCUCGAGUCCCCUUAGUUUAUUGUGAUAAUGAUGAUGGAAGGGCCUCCGUGCUGGCAAAAAAUUGGGCUGCACGAUCAUGAUUAUCACCCGCCUAUUUAAAAUGCAAACUGGAGUUUUGAAGUAUUAAGCAGGAGCGGAACCUAAUCCGAAUCCGAAUCCGAAUCCGAUAUACAACUGUCAUAAUGUUUUACUUUGGGGAGGUAAUGUAUGCUGCAGAUGCUCUAUAGAAGUUGAAGCAUACCUGCUAGAAUACAUGGAAUUUUGUUGUAUCAUUUACUGCUAAAGCCAUCUCUUUUAUAGUGUUCUACAUCUCUCUUGUUGGCCUCAAUUUUUCUUUUUUUCUGGUUUUAUAUGACCAUGAAUAGUUAUAAUUUUGGUUAAUUGAUCAAUGUUGAUAAUCUUUUUCAGCUACA